rnacentral:rRNA from 1 species
GUGUCAGCAGCCGCGGUAAUACGGAGGGUGCAAGCGUUGUCCGGAAUCACUGGGUGUAAAGGGUGUGUAGGCGGGGCUGUAAGUCAGAGGUGAAAUCCCACGGCUUAACCGUGGAACUGCCUUUGAUACUGCAGCUCUUGAGUCCCGGAGAGGUGGCUGGAAUUCGUGGUGUAGCGGUGAAAUGCGUAGAUAUCACGAGGAACACCAGAGGUGUAGACGGGUCACUGGACGGGUACUGACGCUGAGGCACGAAAGCGUGGGGAGCAAACAGGAUUAGAUACCCUGGUAGUCCACGCCGUAAACGAUGGAUGCUCGGUGUUGCCCCGCUUUAGGGGCAGUGCCUAAGCUAACGCGUUAAGCAUCCCACCUGGGGAGUACGCUCGCAAGAGUGAAACUUAAAUGAAUUGGCGGGG